rfam:Coccomyxa subellipsoidea C-169, whole genome shotgun sequence.
GAGGCGUUGGCGCAACGGCAGCGCAUCCGACUCCAGAUCGGGGGGUUGGGAGUUCAAAUCUCUCACGCCUCA